UACGGGGGGAGCAAGCGUUGUUCGGAUUUACUGGGCGUAAAGGGCGCGUAGGCGGCGCAACAAGUCACUUGUGAAAUCUCCGGGCUUAACCCGGAGCGGUCAAGUGAUACUGUCGUGCUAGAGUGCGGAAGGGGCUACUGGAAUUCUCGGUGUAGCGGUGAAAUGCGUAGAUAUCGAGAGGAACACCUGCGGCGAAGGCGGGUAGCUGGGCCGACACUGACGCUGAUGCGGCGAAAGCCAGGGGAGCGAACGGG
rnacentral:rRNA from 1 species